AUUUCAAAUUUGGUGUAAUUCAAAUCUGCAUAAAAUAUGAAGAGCAGCAGUAAAUGUAACUACAUAAGUAUAUAGAAAGUACAUUGAGAACUAUGUCUAGAUACUCAUAUUGCAACAGAACAAAGGGUGGGGGAAAAAUGUAUAUGUAAGGAUAACUUGAUCCCCUUGGUGUACAGUGGGAAAAAAAUGAAUAAACAAUUGCAAUAUGUAAUGCAAUAUAGCACAAAGGAGGGAGAGGAAACAACUAUAUUGUAGCAAUCUCUCUGUAUGCUUUCUAAGUUGUUAAAAUUAAUCUGAACCAGAUUGUAAUUGUAAUCUUGAGGUCACCCACUAAGAAAACAACUAAAAAAUAUGUAGUAAAAAAACAGCAAAAUAGUACUUUAGACAAUAUCUGUGUAACACAAUUGAAGGUAGUAAUGGAAAAAUAGAAGAAAAAGAUAAGACAUAUCAAACAAAGCAAAUGGCAGACAUAAAUGCUAUCUUAUCAGUAAUAUUAAAUAGAAAGGCAGAGAUUGGAAAAGUGGAUAAAUUGAUCCAAACGUGGAUAAAUUGAAAUGUCUGCUGUCUUUUAAGAGAUCUAUGUUGUGUUCAAGGGCACAAAUAGGUUGAAAGUAAAAGAAUGGAAAAAUAUGCCAGGCAGACAGCAUCCGAAGAGAGUUAAGGUGGCUGUGUAAACAUGAGACAAAAUAUAUUUUAAGACAAAAUUUUUAUAACAUACAAACAAAAACAUUUUAUAAAACUGUCACUAUAUCAGGAAGAUGUAAAGUUAUAAACAUAUGCACUUAACAAUGGUGCCCCAAAAUACAUGAAGCAAAAGAGGACAGAAUUGAAGGGAGAAAUAAUCUAACAGUAAUAGUUGGAGACUUCAAUACUGUACUUUCAAUAAUGGAUAAAACUACUAGACAGCUCAGUGAGUAAAUAGAAGAAGUGAACAACACUGUAAACCAAGAAGAUCUUCUACAGACAUCUGUAGAACACUCCACACAACAACAGCAGAAAACACAUUCUUAAGUGUACAUGGAACAUUUUCCAGGAAAGACCCUCUGUUAGGCCACAAAAUAUGCCUGAAUAUAUUUAUUUAUAGAAAGUGUGUUCUGUAGCCACAGUGGGAUGAAAUUACAAAUCAAUAACAGAAGAAUAUUUUGGCAGUUCACAAAUAUGUGGAAAUUAAAUAUCAGACUCCUAAGUAACCAGUUGGUAAAAGAAGAAAUCACAAAGGAAAUUAGAAAAUACUUCAGAAUGAAUAAAAAUGAAAACACAAUGUGGCAAAAUUGAUGGGAUGCAGUAAAAGCAGUGCUUAGGGGAAAAUUUAUAGCUUUAAAUGCCUACAU
rnacentral:lncRNA from 1 species